rnacentral:rRNA from 1 species
GGAGGUUGUGCCCUUGAGGCGUGGCUUCCGGAGCUAACGCGUUAAGUCGACCGCCUGGGGAGUACGGCCGCAAGGUUAAAACUCAAAUGAAUUGACGGGGGCCCGCACAAGCGGUGGAGCAUGUGGUUUAAUUCGAUGCAACGCGAAGAACCUUACCUACUCUUGACAUCCAGAGAACUUACCAGAGAUGCAUUGGUGCCUUCGGGAACUCUGAGACAGGUGCUGCAUGGCUGUCGUCAGCUCGUGUUGUGAAAUGUUGGGUUAAGUCCCGCAACGAGCGCAACCCUUAUCCUUUGUUGCCAGCGGUUCGGCCGGGAACUCAAAGGAGACUGCCAGUGAUAAACUGGAGGAAGGUGGGGAUGACGUCAAGUCAUCAUGGCCCUUACGAGUAGGGCUACACACGUGCUACAAUGGCGCAUACAAAGAGAAGCGACCUCGCGAGAGCAAGCGGACCUCAUAAAGUGCGUCGUAGUCCGGAUUGGAGUCUGCAACUCGACUCCAUGAAGUCGGAAUCGCUAGUAAUCGUAGAUCAGAAUGCUACGGUGAAUACGUUCCCGGGCCUUGCACUCCCCGCCCGUCAAAA